rnacentral:rRNA from 1 species
UUAGGAAUAUUCGUCAAUGGAGGAAACUCUGAACGAGCAAUGCCGCGUGAAGGAUGACGGUCCUUUGGAUUGUAAACUUCUGUUGUUAGGAACGAACAACCUAAGUAGGAAAUGACUUAGGCCUGACGGUACCUUUCAAGAAAGCUCCGGCUAACUACGUGCCAGCAGCCGCGGUAAUACGUAGGGAGCGAGCGUUAUCCGGAUUCAUUGGGUGUAAAGCGUGUGUAGGCGGUUUCUUAAGUCAGUAGUCUAAGCCUGGAGCUUAACUCCAGUUCGCUACUGAAACUGAGUUACUUGAGUAUGGUAGAGGCAAGUGGAAUUUCUAGUGUAGCGGUGGAAUGCGUAGAUAUUAGAAGGAACACCAGUGGCGAAGGCGGCUUGCUGGGCCAUCACUGACGCUGAGACACGAAAGCGUGGGGAGCAAAUA